rfam:Pan troglodytes isolate Yerkes chimp pedigree #C0471 (Clint) chromosome 18, whole genome shotgun sequence.
GCUGGGUGUGGUGGCACAUACCUGUAGUCCCAGCUACUUGGGAGGCUGAGGUGGGAGGUUCCCUUGAGCCCAGGAGCUCCAGGCUGCAGUGAGCCAUGAUUCUGCCACCGCACUCCAGCCUGGGCAACAGGGGGAGACCCUGCCUCAA